rnacentral:lncRNA from 1 species
UUUUGACUGUGAAUGCUGGGAAAGACAUCUUGAAAUGGAGACUAUUAAGAUUUUAAUUCCACGUUGGAAGAUUGAGUCAAAAUAUCUCUGGCGAUUUCAGGGUCCCUUCUUGCUCUAUUCUGAAGACAGCUCCUAUGACACUAAUUCAAGGAUCAGUGGCUGGAUUAGAGAAAUAAUGGAAAAUGAUUGUUGCAAGGGUGUCAACUGCUUGGAAUGCUGCCGGCAACCGGGUUCUGAGCCCAGGCUACUGAGCUAAAGUGAAGACUUCAUUCUUGCUAGAGAUUGAUAGAGAAAAUGGAUGAAGUUUUGUGUUUGCUGUACUGACCUGAAGUGACGAACAACCACAUACAUCUUUGUCUUCACUCUGUCCAGCUGUCAACUGCAUUGUUCCCUCACGUCUUCCUGCAAAGUACCAUUAUUUCCACACCUUAAGAAUGAAAGAGUGAAGAGAAAAUGACAAAAUGUUCUUGUUUAUCAGGAGAUGGGGGUGAGCUGAGCUUUCCACAAGGUCCUGAAUGGAUGAGAAGGACCCAAAACAUAUGGAAAAUAUGGAG